ACCUGUUUUAUUUAAAAAAAAAAAAAAAAAAAAAAAUCUGUUCUUAUCAGUUUAAUCGCUGAUACGUCCUCGAUGUGAGGACCGACGCAUUAAACACAUUUUUGGUGCCGGGAGCGGGCCUCGGAGCUUGCUCCAGCCCCUCCAUGCAUCGGCCCAGUAUUGCAGUACCUCCAGGCCCGGUGCCCGCCCC